rnacentral:rRNA from 1 species
UGGCGACAUAGAGCGGAACCCGAAAACCUGUCUCAGUUCGGAUUGGAGUCUGCAACCCGACUCCAUGAAGCUGGAUUCGCUAGUAAUCGCGCAUCAGCCACGGCGCGGUGAAUACGUUCCCGGGCCUUGUACACACCGCCCGUCAAGCCAUGGGAGCCGGGGUACCUGAAGUGCGUGACCGCAAGGAGCGCCCUAAGGUAAAACCGGUGACUGGGGUUAAGUCGUAACAAGGUACC